AUGCCCUUGGUAUGGAACAUAAUACGUUCAGUGGUUAUUAGGUCUUGCUCGCUCUCUGCAUAAUUCUCUGUUGGAGCCUACCAGAUUAUAAGACUUGCAAAAGGUGUUGCUUACACUACUAAUUGUGCAAUGUACUGGAGGCAGCUAUUGCUGUUCGAUUCAGUGAUUUUAUUGAUGUUCUGAGAGGCACUCAGUACGUGGCAGAGUUGAGUAGCCACCAUACCUGCGCUGACUCUUGUUCAUGUCUAUGGAAACACUAAAGAGAGAAGUUUCUUUCAUACAUGUACUCAUCUGUAGUGUAUAGCUGUAGAGAUUUCAGAUUUGUAACAACCCUGUGUGCUAAGCGGAAUAGCAUACGACGCUCAAGUUUCAAUAUUACUUCUGAAACUUUGAUCCUGAUCUAUUAAUAAUAUUCUGAUUGACUGGUCGGUUUUUGGUGAAGGGCUUAGUUAGCAACUCCAUGAUUUUGUGAAAAUUUCAGCUUGUGUUUCUGCAAAGCAAAUUUUGAACAGCAGAUAGGUCCGAGUUUGGUAGAAAUCAAGAGGAUACUGUAAAUCAUGCAUUAGUAGCUAGCUGAUCAAUACAGCUUGUGAUGAACCACUAUUUUAAUUGAUAUGUUGUGCUGAAUGUUGAGUUACAUGCAUCUGUAUUAUUUAAGUUACAAGUUAGUCCUGGAUCUCUUGAAUCAUGCCUCUGCAUAGAGUGCAUUUAUUAUAACUAAAAGUGGCUAGAUAUUUAUUCCUUACAUUUUGAGACUUGAACUAUUUGUGUGUUAUCCGAGAUAGUAACAUAAUGUUUUUCCUUUUCAUUCUUCUUGCAGGCCUGUCUUGUUUUUUUAAUGCAUCGUCAAAAGAGUACUUGACAAUGGCAAUCCGUCUCCUGUCACAGCAAAAUUUGAGAAAGUUGGCUGCUUCUUUCAUGCUCCUUAUGCCUUAAUCAAUCCAAAAACAUACUGCUUCCACCUUCCUAUCUGUCCCUUGGGCAGUGAACCCAUUUUGUUGAUUCUUAUCUCUUUCAAUGCUCGAUGUUUACUACAUAACCAGAAUUUGUAGUUUAUCUGCUUUUUCAUGAAGUGCCAUAAUUUACCAGUUGCAGCUGCUUGGCUUAAUUCUAUGGUUGCAUUUUUUCUAUUUAUCACUGUACUUGAUUUUGCCAAGUGUUGCCUACUUGGUCACUCAACUUGUUGUCUGAACUCUGGAGGUGUCUAGCACUUACAUAGGACAUAACUUACCUUUGAUCAUAUUUCAUCCAUGACAAAUUGAAUUUAGUGUCAUCAUAUUUCCCUUCUACUUAUCGCAGGUCUGAUGCUGUUUCCCUUAACAAAUACUUAAGUCCCUUUUACUCAUUUGUGAAUUCAUGGGUGUUAGAUGUGCUACCUAUGAUUCCGUGAAUCUUGUUUUGUCUAAAGAUAGGAAUCCCAAGUUUGACAUUGAGGAGGUGGAGCCCUCCGGAAGGGGAUGUACUCAACCAAGAGGCGUUUGAAGCUUCGGAGGAGGCGGGAAAAGAGGAAGAGGAAGGAGGCCGAUAAAAAUGAUCCACGGCAGUAUCAGACCCAAGGGGGAAAAUAACAAAACAACAAUUUCCUACAGUUGAAGCAUGAUUCAAAUAUAAGACGGAGAAGGCACUUGAAUUUUUUUUCAAAAUAUGAAGAAUAAUAGCUGGUGACAGUUUGCUGUCUCAUUCUAGUGUCUGAAAAGCAGGGAGCUUGUACCACUAACUACACUAUAGACAUGUUGCAUUUCAUUGAAAAACACAAUCCGAGAAUGCUGAUCUGGUUCAUGGUGGUAGCAAGGAAGCUUCUUCACUAGGAAUAGAGGAAUUGAAUUGCAAAAAGGACCAAGGGCCUCAUCUGGCAUAAUGCUUUUGGAUGCCGAGCUCCAUGGAGGCCUCCAAAUGCAAACUUCAAAAUUUGUAAAAAUUCAUAUUUUUAUUUUUCAAAAAAUUCUAGAAGAAAUUACGGAGAUAGAGAAGGCAUAAUGCAUAAGUGUUUAACUUUUAAAACAAAA